UCGCAGCAAGGCUUCCCCUCUACCCUCUCUGGGCCUCUCACAAAGGCUGAGCCCCGCCCCGCUGAGGCCUGUCUGCAGAAUCCACAGCAACCAGCACCAUGCCCAUGACACUGGGGUACUGGAACAUCCGCGGGCUGGCCCAUUCCAUCCGCCUGCUCCUGGAAUACACAGACUCAAGCUACGAGGAAAAAAAGUACACGAUGGGGGACGCUCCUGAUUAUGACAGAAGCCAGUGGCUGAAUGAAAAAUUCAAGCUGGGCCUGGAUUUUCCCAAUCUGCCCUACUUGAUUGAUGGGACUCACAAGAUCACCCAGAGCAACGCCAUCCUGCGGUACAUUGCCCGCAAGCACAACCUGUGCGGGGAAUCAGAAAAGGAGCAGAUUCGCGAAGACAUUUUGGAGAACCAGUUUAUGCAGCUGGCCAAACUCUGCUAUGACCCAGAUUUUGUAAGUCCCCCCAAGUCCCCCCCACCCCACUCCCAGUCUCCCCUACCCUACUCCCAGUCUCCCUUUUCCCUGCAGAGUUUGUGUCCAAAAUUGAUUCCUUCUGGUGAGUUCUUGGUCUUGCUGACUCUAAGAAUGAAGCCGCGGUCCUACACGGUGAGUGUUACAGUUCUUAAAGAUGGUGUAUCCGGAGUUUGUUCCUUCAGAUGUUCAGAUGUGUCCGCAGUUUCUUCCUUCCGGUGGGUUUGUGGUCUUGCUGACUUCAGGGGUGAAGCCGCAGACCUUCGCAGAGAAACUGAAACCAGAAUACCUGCAGGCACUCCCUGAAAUGCUGAAGCUCUACUCACAGUUUCUGGGGAAGCAGCCAUGGUUUCUUGGGGACAAGAUCACCUUUGUGGAUUUCAUCGCUUAUGAUGUCCUUGAGAGAAACCAAGUAUUUGAGCCCAGCUGCCUGGAUGCCUUCCCAAACCUGAAGGACUUCAUCUCCCGAUUUGAGGGCUUGGAGAAGAUCUCUGCCUACAUGAAGUCCAGCCGCUUCCUCCCAAGACCUGUGUUCACAAAGAUGGCUGUCUGGGGCAACAAGUAGGGCCUUGAAGGCCAGGAGGUGGGAGUGAGGAGCCCAUACUCAGCCUGCUGCCCAGACUGUGCAGCGCAGCUGGACUCUGCAUCCCAGCACCUGCCUUCUCGUUCCUUUCUCCUGUUUAUUCCCAUCUUUACUCCCAAGACUUCAUUGUCCCUCUUCACUUCCCCUAAACCCCUGUCCUAUGCAGGCCCUUUGAAGCCUCAGCUACCCACUAUCCUUCGUGAACAUCCCCUCCCAUCAUUACCCUUCCCUGCACUAAAGCCAGCCUGACCUUCCUUCCUGUUAGUGGUUGUGUCUGCUUUGAAGGGCCUGCCUGGCCCCUCGCCUGUGGAGCUCAGCCCCGAGCUGUCCCCGUGUUGCAUGAAGGAGCAGCAUUGACUGGUUUACAGGCCCUGCUCCUGCAGCGUGGUCCCUGCCUUAGGCCUACCUGAUGGAAGUAAAGCCUCAACCACA